GGCCCACCUGCCCGACGAUCAGUAGGGGUUCUGAGAGGAAGGUCCCCCACACUGGUACUGAGACACGGACCAGACUCCUACGGGAGGCAGCAGUGAGGAAUAUUGGUCAAUGGGCGAGAGCCUGAACCAGCCAAGUAGCGUGCAGGAUGACGGCCCUAUGGGUUGUAAACUGCUUUUAUCAGGGGAUAAAGUGAGGGACGUGUCCCUUUUUGUAGGUACCUGAUGAAUAAGGACCGGCUAAUUCCGUGCCAGCAGCCGCGGUAAUACGGAAGGUCCGGGCGUUAUCCGGAUUUAUUGGGUUUAAAGGGAGCGCAGGCUGGCGCUUAAGCGUGCUGUGAAAUGCCGCGGCUCAACCGUGGAAGUGCAGCGCGAACUGGGUGCCUUGAGUGAGUACGACGUCAGCGGAAUUCGUGGUGUAGCGGUGAAAUGCUUAGAUAUCACGAAGAACCCCGAUUGCGAAGGCAGCUGACGAGUCCUUUACUGACGCUAAAGCUCGAAGGUGCGGGUAUCGAACA
rnacentral:rRNA from 1 species